ACACAUUACAAAGAUACCCACUUAAGGAAAAUUUUUAUACAACCUUGGAGUGGUGAUGAUCUUUUUAAUAGGGUUGGAAACCUAGACAGACAUAUUUUACUAAACAAAAAAUUUAAAUGUCAUAUGGCAGGAGACCAGAGUCAAAGUUAAAAGAAUAGGUAGACUAGAAGAAAUAUUCAUUAGUAAUAGGAAAAGUAUUAAUGUCCCUAUAUACAAAGAUAACUUUAAUAUGAUAAAUUAUUGGAGAAAUCAGCAAACAAUUCACAGAACAGGACAUUUAAGAAGUCAGCAAGCAUAAAAGGUUGGUGAAAAAAACUGCAAAGUAAAAGGUGUAAUAUCCCAUAUUGUUUCAGGUUUUUUUAGUCCUCUGUAUAUGUAGAGACAGAAAUAUGUAUGGAAAAAUACACAC